rnacentral:rRNA from 1 species
AGAAUCAACGCUGGCGGCGUGCCUAACACAUGCAAGUCGCACGAGAAAGGGUAGCAAUACCUGAGUAAAGUGGCGCACGGGUGAGUAACACGUGAAUUAUCUACCUCCGAGUGGGGGAAUAACUGAGAGAAAUCUUAGCUAAUACCGCAUAACACUUACGAGUCAAAGCAGCAAUGCGCUUGGAGAGGAGUUCGCGGCCGAUUAGUUAGUUGGCGGGGUAAUGGCCCACCAAGACGAUGAUCGGUA